GCGGGGAUAGCUCAGUUGGGGAGAGCGUCAGACUGUAAAUCUGACAGGGUUUAAUUAUUUUGCA